CCCGUUUACACUAUACCGGAUUGCAUUGGAGCGAAGCGAUUUUCAUACCAGAUUCGGCUGCUGUUUACACUACGCCACAGUAAUCCGGUACGCGACGCGGAGCAAAAAUCACUCCGCUUUGGAGGUGAUAUGAAAAGUAAUCCGGUAUGUGCCGGAGCAGUGUAAACAGGCUAAUCCGGUACGCUUCGGUACAGAAUCGGUUUUGGCGUGUAUGUUUUAACAUUGUCGCCUUUAUUUGCUCGCUUUUACAAUACUUUAUAGCUGUUGUUUGUUUCGCCUUGCAACCAUUUACUAUUUCUGCCGAAUACAAGUAAAGAAAACGAUAAUAACAUUGACUUUUCGCUUUCGAAAGAGCAAAAUUUAAAGAAAUACUCUGAAAUUUUGGAUUAGAGCGAAACGAAGCAACGUCUGGCGGUCAAGCUUUUUAAACAAAGUUAUACUUUACAAAGAAAACGGAUGUUACUUCUUGUUUUUAAUAAAUUUUGGUCAAUUGGCUACUUGUUUCCAUGGCGACAGUGAAAGACAUGAGCUGGCAACAGAGCGAAGCGGCAUAGUGUAAACACCCUUGAUUUUUUACUUCGGAGUAAAAAUUAAUCCGGUAUGAAAAGUAAUCCGGUAUAGUGUAAACGGGGC